CGUCACCUACGGGGGGCAGCAGUGAGGAAUAUUGGUCAAUGGGCGGAAGCCUGAACCAGCCAAGUCGCGUGAGGGAAUAAGGCCCUACGGGUCGUAAACCUCUUUUGCCGGGGAGCAAGGGCGGGGACGUGUCCCGGCCCGGAGAGUACCCGGAGAAAAAGCAUCGGCUAACUCCGUGCCAGCAGCCGCGGUAAUACGGAGGAUGCGAGCGUUAUCCGGAUUUAUUGGGUUUAAAGGGUGCGUAGGCGGGCUGUUAAGUCAGCGGUAAAAAUUCGGGGCUCAACCCCGUCCGGCCGUUGAAACUG
rnacentral:rRNA from 1 species